rnacentral:rRNA from 1 species
ACGCUGGCGGCAGGCCUAACACAUGCAAGUCGAGCGGUAGAGAGAAGCUUGCUUCUCUUGAGAGCGGCGGACGGGUGAGUAAUGCCUAGGAAUCUGCCUGGUAGUGGGGGAUAACGUUCGGAAACGGACGCUAAUACCGCAUACGUCCUACGGGAGAAAGCAGGGGACCUUCGGGCCUUGCGCUAUCAGAUGAGCCUAGGUCGGAUUAGCUAGUUGGUGAGGUAAUGGCUCACCAAGGCGACGAUCCGUAACUGGUCUGAGAGGAUGAUCAGUCACACUGGAACUGAGACACGGUCCAGACUCCUACGGGAGGCAGCAGUGGGGAAUAUUGGACAAUGGGCGAAAGCCUGAUCCAGCCAUGCCGCGUGUGUGAAGAAGGUCUUCGGAUUGUAAAGCACUUUAAGUUGGGAGGAAGGGUUGUAGAUUAAUACUCUGCAAUUUUGACGUUACCGACAGAAUAAGCACCGGCUAACUCUGUGCCAGCAGCCGCGGUAAUACAGAGGGUGCAAGCGUUAAUCGGAAUUACUGGGCGUAAAGCGCGCGUAGGUGGUUUGUUAAGUUGGAUGUGAAAUCCCCGGGCACAACCUGGGAACUGCAUUCAAAACUGACUGACUAGAGUAUGGUAGAGGGUGGUGGAAUUUCCUGUGUAGCGGUGAAAUGCGUAGAUAUAGGAAGGAACACCAGUGGCGAAGGCGACCACCUGGACUAAUACUGACAC